GACGAACGCUGGCGGCGUGCUUAACACAUGCAAGUCGAACGAUGAAGCCUUUCGGGGUGGAUUAGUGGCGAACGGGUGAGUAACACGUGGGCAAUCUGCCCUUCACUCUGGGACAAGCCC
rnacentral:rRNA from 1 species